GGAUGUCUGAUCCCCUGGAACAGGAGUUAGAGGUGUAUGCGAACUGCUAUGUGGGUGCUGGAAACUGAACCAGGCUUUUCUGCAAGAGCAGUCAGUGCCCUUAGCCACCGUCUGUCUCUCCAGUCUGAUGGGUAACCAUUCUGAAGAGAAAACACAUUGGUCUCCAGCCUUUUGGUCUGCCCACUCUUAUAACCUCUCCCCAGAAGAGGGGAGAGGAAAAAAGAGGAGUAGGAAGAGGAAGAGGAGGAAGAGGAAGAAGAGGAGGAAGAAGAAGAAGAAGAGGAGGAGGAGGAAGAGAGGAAGAAGGAGAACAAAAACAAACAACAAUAAAAACAACAACAACCAA